rnacentral:rRNA from 1 species
UACGUAGGUGGCAAGCGUUAUCCGGAUUUAUUGGGCGUAAAGGGAACGCAGGCGGUCUUUUAAGUCUGGUGUGAAAGCCUUCGGCUUAACCGGAGUAGUGCAUUGGAAACUGGGAGACUUGAGUGCAGAAGGGGAGAGUGGAACUCCAUGUGUAGCGGUGAAAUGCGUAGAUAUAUGGAAGAACACCAGUGGCGAAAGCGGCUCUCUGGUCUGUAACUGACGCUGAGGUUCGAAAGCGUGGGUAGCGAACAGG